AACGAACGCUGGCGGCAUGGCUAAGGCAUGCAAGUCGUACGGACCGGGGUAGCAAUAUUCCGGUUAGUGGCGGACGGGUGAGUAAUGCAUGGGUAACGUACCUAGAACACGGGGAUAACGGCGGGCCGCAAGGCCCUUUGCGAAAGUGCCGCUAAUACCCGAUGACGUCACGAGAUCGCCUGGUUUUGUGACCAAAAGGCGGGGACCGCAAGGCCUGCUGGUUCUGGAUCGGCCCAUGUCCUANCAGCUAGUUGGUGAGGUAACGGCUCACCAAGGCAUAGACGGGUAGCCGGACUGAGAGGUCGACCGGCCACAUCGGGACUGAGACACUGCCCGGACACCUACGGUGGCUGCAGCAACGAAUCUUGGGCAAUGGGCGAAGCCUGACCCAGCAAUGCCGCGUGCAGGAUGAAG
rnacentral:rRNA from 1 species